AGCCCGUGGCCGCGGCGGGUGGCCGGGCCGGACACUCACCGGGACGAUGGCGGGGCGCUCGCGCCGCUCCCUCCGGUUCCGGGGAAGCCUUCAGCUGCCCUUCCUGCUUGCUGAGCCUUCUUUCAACCUCUUCCUAUGACCCAAUUUCUGGGCCGUAUUAUCAACCGUGUGGACGGUACCUCCAGCCAUGUCCGGGCUCUGGAUCAGGACUCCCAGUAGUCCCCGGCUCCACAAUUUGCAGGUGAUCUGAGUGGUCCUGGGGACUGAGACGUGAGGAUCAGACUGCAGGCCUGACAGUGUUUGAGACCAGAGCAGAAGACUGCGUGAAAACAUGCCAGCUACAGCCUGAUGAACUCCAGGGCAGGAAGAGAGCGGCCACUGACCCUGCCCCAGAAAGCUCACAUCAGUGCCCCAGCGUGUUUCCCUCCUAUGUCCAUUGGCUCACCCGUUCAUCCAGCUCUA